ACACCAAGGUUGUAGUAUGUCUGAAUGCUAUGCAAAAUGUAUGGUUUCAUGAAGUUUCCUGGAGGAUUCCUCUUUCAGAUAUCUUAGCAUUCCAUGGUAUGACUAGAGCCAAGAAAGAUGGUCAAGUGCUGCCUAGCUAUAAGCUUGGACUCCAUGGGCAUUUUUCUGGGUAUACUCUGUUUACUCAUAAGACUUAUACCUGUGAUUGACCUACUAUGAAGGUUCGUGUGCAAUUAAACUUUAUAUGAUUGUUUUGGAGAUAAUUCAUUCCAUGAUGUUAUUUGAAAUACAUGCUUAUCUAGAAAAAUACAUAGAGAAUAUCUGAAGUAAGUCAUUAACUUCUAUUAUUUUUUAAUACAGAGGGUCUGUGAAGAGGCAGAACAACAAUGCUAUAUGCUCUCUAAAAGUAUGUUGUCAUGAUCACAUUGAUCAGCCAAUUCUGCCAUAGCAUUCUUCCAAGAAAUGUGCUGAGUAAACUCCACUAUCUGUACCAUUUCUCUUUUUGCACACUACUAUAGUAUAUCAUUUUCCAAAAGCUCAACUUCCUGCCCAACAUAAAGAAAAGACUUCCUGUACUCUCCAGGUCCAGACUCCACAGUGGCCCUUUUAUGUAUGAUGACAACCAAUGCCCAAGUCCUCUGGAUACAGGUAGUUCAGGACUCUUGCUAAGAUAUCAAUUGAUCCUAGAAAGGACUGGUGGUACACACCUUUAAUAACAGCUUUCUGGGGUUAGAGGUAGGUGGAUCUCUAUGAGUGUAGGUCAGGCUGGUCUACCUUGUGAGUUUCAGACCAACCUGGGUAAUGCAAAGAAAACUUGUCUCAAUAAAACAGAGGAAGUGAUGUAGAAAGACCUUGUUUCCAAAAAUCAAAGGGAGAAAGAGAGACAAAGAUAUAGAGAGAGACAGAGAGACAUACCAAGAGAAACACAGGAGCCAAAAGAGUUCAUAUAAGAAAAGAGGGAGAGAAAAAAACUGUGCAUUUAUUCCUUUGCUUGUUCUCUUGUUUAUUGGGAUUAUUACAUUCAUCAUUUGCCAUGUUGAUGGUUAUGUUCUCUUACUGAAGGUAAUAACAUGCAGUUGUUCAAAUUUUGCAUCUAUUUUCUUUUUUUUUGCAUCUAUUUUCUAAUCAAACAUUUUUCUAGUAUUGUAAAUACUUACAUUCCACUGAUUCUCUAGGCUAAAAGUUGAUAUGGUUUCCAGUUUGCACAAUGUCUGGAGUGCUCCACUAUAACCUGCUCAGACAUUUAUAAAUAUUUCAUUCCUUAGGCACACAAAUUCAUAUUCGAGUGACCUAAACACCAUGAUAUACUCAGCAAGAUGAAAACUGAACUUACUACACAUCAAAACCUUUUCUUAUUCCUAAUGUCAUUCAUUUACCCAUGGCAGAUAAGAGCCUUAGCAAUUAUAUGGAGUCCUAAAUUUUUAAUUGCCAUUCAAAGAUACUGAGAAAAGCACUGUGCCUUGCUAACAGACACCUGGCCUCAAAUUACGAUUAUGCCAUUUUUAGAUCUGUGCAAUUAUAGGCAAUUUCCUUGAUUUCUCUGAACUCUGUAAAAUUGUAUCAUAUUCAGUUUUUGGAGUUGUAUUACCUAUACAUGUAAUCCUUAAGAAUAAAAGCACAAUUUUCCCCUGGAGCAGUAGUCUCCUAAAUGUGUCUUAACUUCUAAAUCCUCAAAAACAUCAAUUCAUCUUUUCUAUUGUUUACCCAAUGAUUUAACAUGAAAUUUAAAUCAUUUUAUUCUUUUCAAUUGACUUAAAAAGCUUAGGAAGGGAGGAGUUAUAAAACCUUAGUUUUUGGAACAAAGUAUAUUAAAGAUAUGGCUCAAUCCUGUACUAAAAUAAUUUAGAGUUCUAUAUACAGGAAUGUGAUAAAUGCAAAUUAUUUAUUGCCUUUUAUAUGAACUAACAAAGUUAUCACAAAAUUAAUGACUAAUAAUAAUUACAAAAAAUUAAUUUCCAUCCCUAUGUAAAAUUAUAAUAAUGAAAAUGAUAGAAACAAAUGGUUUUUGAGUUUCAACUAUGCUAGCAAAUGAGCUGUUCUCCCAAUUGUACUCAUACAGUGGGAUGUUUUAAGUAUAUGUUGUUUGACUUAGGUAAAUUUCUAAGUUAAAUAGAUGACAAACUUGUUUGGUAUAUGAGUUUUAUCAUUAUGUGUAACUCAAUAUCAGUUUUAUUCAAAACUCUUACCAGGAGGCACUGAGUUUAUUUCACCACAGUACAAAAAAAAAAAAAAAAAAAAAAAAAAAAAAAAAAAAAAAC